rnacentral:misc_RNA from 1 species
GUGCUCUACAACAUGAACCAGGAGAUCCAGACGGAGGACAUCGACCUCCCCCUCACCCGCAUCCGCCCCGUCAAGAAGGUCGCCCUCGUCGUCCUCACCGGCGAGCGCGGCCUCUGCGGCAGCUUCAACAACAACGUCCUCAAGAAGGCCGAGACCCGCAUCGAGGAGCUCAAGCAGCUCGGCCUCGAGUACACCGUCGUCAGCGUCGGCAAGAAGGGCAACGCCUACUUCAUCCGCCGCCCCUUCAUCCCCACCGAGCGGACGCUGGAGGUGAACGGCAUCCCCACCGUGAAGGACUCCCAGUCCAUCUGCGACCUCGUCUACUCGCUGUUCGUGUCCGAGGCGGUGGACAAGGUGGAGCUCCUCUACUCCAAGUUCGUCUCCCUCGUCCGCUCCGACCCCAUCAUCCAGACGCUGCUCCCCAUGUCGCCCAAGGGGGAGAUCUGCGACAUCAACGGCGUGUGCGUGGACGCCACCGAGGACGAGCUGUUCCGGCUCACCACCAAGGAAGGGAA